rnacentral:rRNA from 1 species
UAAGUAAGUGGUGGAAGAAACAUAAACAUGAUUCUUUAAGUAAUGGCGAAUGAACAAAGACAUAGUCAUUUUGAAAAUUGUGGUCCGUGAUCAUGAAUUGUAAUAUUCAAAAUGCAUUGCUAACAAAAUUGCAUAUAGUUAGUUUAUUGGAAAGAACAUUUCAAAGGGUGAAAAUCCCAUGUGUCAUGUGUAUGUUUUGUGUACAGUGUGCAUUUCAUGAUUCACAUUCAUUGACAAUUGAAUGUAAAGCGAAUGGUAAACUUCAUUUAAACAUAAAUAUGUUGUUGAAAACUUAUAUCGAACAAAUACCAUGAGGGAAAUGUGAAAAGGAUUUUGAAAAGAAAAUUAAAAGAGCUUACAAUUGCUGGAUUGAUAAGCAAACAAAACACACAUGUGUAUGUGCAAGAUUGUUGUCAUGUUGUGCAAUUCAUGCAAAUUAACAUUGCUUUGGUUUUUGUGUAAUUUUGUCAGCUUUGGAAUUGAGAAUGAUUUUUUUGAGUGUGAAUGGAUUGUUGUUUGUUAACAAAGGAAUGCACUUUCAAAAUCAUUGUUUGAUUUGUCAAUCAAGUUUGUGGCGUGUGUUGUGUGUCAAAUUUCAUUAUAUAAUUCACAAAACACAUGAAGUUUGAGCUAUUAAGGCAAUCUUGUUUUGUUGUACC